UAAUACGUAGGGGGCGAGCGUUGUCCGGAAUUAUUGGGCGUAAAGAGCGUGUAGGCGGUUUGGUAAGUCUGCCGUGAAAACCUGGGACUUAACCCCGGGCGUGCGGUGGAAACUGCCAGGCUAGAGGAUGGUAGAGGCGAGUGGAAUUCCGAGUGUAGCGGUGAAAUGCGCAGAUAUUCGGAGGAACACCAGUAGCGAAGGCGGCUCGCUGGGCCAUACCUGACGCUGAGACGCGAAAGCGUGGGGAGCAAACAGGA
rnacentral:rRNA from 1 species